ensembl:lncRNA SNHG17 small nucleolar RNA host gene 17
CUUGUCGUGUGGCCUCAGUCCUUCGCCGUCCCUCGCCGUCCUUCGCCAUCGCACGCCACCGCACCCCAUCUCUCGAAAUCUGCAGACAUCUUGAUUUUUCCCACGCUGUCUGUCAGGUCUCCGCCGCCACUCGACGCCAGGGCGCCGGGCCUUGUGGGCUGUGCUGCACCUCGGACGGCUUCGCACCAGCCAGCGCCCUCUCUCUCCUGCAGCACUCUGAUCUGCACCCCCUGAGGGGCUUCCACUGUCCGCGGGGUGAGAAUGCCCCUGGGAGUGUCACAUGACUGCCGCCCCAUGUGUGUGAGAGGCGUCCUCUGGGAGAGCAUGGAUCCUGAGGUCCCAGGAUUGUCAGCUGACCUCUGUCCUGUGUGCCCAGUGGCCCCAGGUGACGUGUCUUCAAGAAGAGGCUGAGCUGCGGUGCUUGUAAGAUGGGUCUGCUGUGUGCAGAGGCUCCAUGGGAUGUGUUGUCUUCAUAGUAGCAGGGCGCUGGACCAUGGGUCCGCAAGGUGGGAUUUUUGGACUGUUGUCUGGAAUAUGUUUCUUUGCAUCCUGCAGAGUCAUGUGCUGUUCCUGGGGCUUGGAUGAUGUAGGGGAAGCAAGGUGAAAGUGGUAUCCCGUGGUUCCACGUUCUGUCCUGCUGUGGGGCUGUCCCUCACAUGCUUUCAGUGGCUGUUGCAGAGGAAGAGCCUCCGGAAAUCUGCGUGGGUAAAGUGAGCUCCCCGGGGGAACCGUCCUCCUCCCUUGAGCGCUGGUGUGUCCAUAGUGUGCUGUGAUCUGGAUUAGCAGUGAGUUUUUCUUUCAGGGUGUGUGUGUAUGAUGUUAGGACCAUAUGCUCCUGACCUUUUCCAACCCAAAAGCGUUUCCAUUUUUUUAAUGCUGGAAGUGUCUUAACUCCUUUUGGGGUCUUAGAAGGACACACGGUGGCCGUGGCUGGGCCUCUGCUCAGCUGGGCUGCUCUCCCUGCCUCAGGCCCUUGACACCAGCCUCCCUCCCUUGCUGGCUCUCUUUCUGUCCUUCCCUGCUCUUGUAUCCAAAAGUGAUCAUGGGUUGCCUGUGUCCCGAUCAUUAACAGUGCAGGGGUAGGAGUGCUGAAAGACAUCUUCCCUGCGUUGGUCCAGCCUUCCCUUUCAAACCCUGGAGCUUUCCCACGCUGCAGCCUUUUUCCAACUAGGCUUUCAGAGCUUGGGCCUUUGUGGGCCCAUGUGAUGUGGUGACUAGACCCACCCCCUGACUUCUGAGGGUUCAUUUUGUCUUUUCAUGUUAGGGAUCCUCCUGCCAGAAACCAGUCUGCAUUUCUCUCUGGGCCCCACGCUGGAAUGAAUUCAGAUAGCAGUGAAGGGCACACGUGAGAACUGCGAAUCACGGGCUUUGCUUCAUGAAAUGUGAAAUCCACAUUGUUUCCACAGGCACCAUCAGUAAUGUCGAACAAAUGGAGAAAGUUGCAGGUGGGGCUAGGAAAGCUGUAUUCCUGUGGAUUACUCUAGCUGGUCAUUUGCCCCGAUUGUGAACUGCUUGAAAGAAAAACGAAACUUCUAAGAUGUUUGUCCUUUCAUGUCCUUUCUGUUGGGAUUUUUUAUUUGGUGUGCGUGAAUGAGGAGCUUCGCCCUGCUUGAAUGGGACCCCUCUCAGUGGUGUCAGCUUGGGGAGGAGGAGAUGGCCCUGGAGACUAAAUACUUGUAUGCUUUCUUACCCUCUUAGGUCUCAGCCUUAGAUCCAAGGACAGUCCAAGGAAGUCCUAAGACCAUGGAGUUGGUGAUCUGGGAUCUGGGUUUGCUGAUAUUUCUCACCGUGAAUCUCUUGGUGGUGUUUGUGGGCACGAGAGGGGCAGAGAAUGGAGAGUGAGGCUACCACAUGAAGCGUCACCAGAGCUGCUCCCUGCUGCCUGCUCAGAGCACCCCGGAUCCACUGUUCAAUCUGCACAAGAUUCGGGGUCCAGACAUGGGAGACUUCAGCUGCCUCAGAGGACCGUGGACAGGGAAGGCCAGCCUCGCAUCCCUCUGUCCAUGCCUGGAAUGACUUUAAUAACCAAGAGUUUUAUUUUUGAAUUUGUAGCUGUCGUUCACUUUUUACCCACCCAUUCAAUAAACCUUACAGAAUUGCUC